GGGUUUAGGAUAACUCCUCAGACCAA
rnacentral:tRNA from 1 species